ensembl:lncRNA
CUCCAACUACAGAGUUAACUCAUUGAAUUGUCCUGGGAGGCCUCAGGGCAGAGCGAGCUUCUCCAUCAGGUUAACCAAGGUGGAUGUUUGUCAGCCGGGAAGCAGAGCAAUGGAGGCCUUGUGCAGGGAGACUCUGGCUGAGCCUGCGGAGCUUCCCUUUCCCUCUGGUCACCAAGCCUGGGUGCACGUAUAAUAUGGGUAGCCUUGGCUUUGGACUCAAGCAAGGCCCAAAGAAUGACAAAAAUCAGAUCACUCGUGUGGCUCAAUGCAGCUCCGUUCCUUGAAAACCUCAAGCAUAAGGAGUAGCUAUAUUUUCUCUGGCUCCUGUACUCCACCUCAGAACGUCCUCCAAGCCAGGGAAGCACUGCCUGCACGACCUGCAUUACACAGCUGCCCUCCAGCACCAGAUCAGAGGAGUGUAGCUGCCAGGAUGGCUCACUGCACAAGCAGCGAUGCCAUCAAGGAAGGAAGGCCCCGUGCUGGUGGCACCUCCUCCCCACCCAUCGGUUCCAGCUCUGUGGCCAGGCUGCUGCUGGCUGCCUCCCAUGUGUUGCUAGCACAAACAAACAACGUGGCCAUCACCAUGGAGCCCAAGGAGCCGGCCCUGUGCCUGUCCUGGUGGAGCAGGUCUGACCCGCGCGGGGUUGGCUGCCAGGCUCUGGAGAGCGGCAAGGGAGACAAAACACGUCUGUCGCAGCGAUCGCGGCGGCCCUGGAUCAGAAUCUGAAAUCAUCCUUGAACCGCCAGACCUUCAACAGCCUUAGCAGCCUUAGCACCGCAGCAGAGGAUAAUACCCAGCGGCUCCCCACACCCGGCCAUGGACCACAGCCCCCCACUCCCCGGAGGUGAUGCCGGGCAGGACCCCCGCCUGCACCCCAGUGCCAGAGCCGCGCACGCGGGGCGAGGAGCGCGGGGUGAGCCGGGACGACCUGUCCUGCGAGGAGUCUGACGAGGGCGGUGGGAAGGAGGAUGACGGGACCCCGUGGAGGGGUGGCGGGGCGGGCACCCAGAGCCCCUUCCAGCUGGAUGGAGAAAUAGACAUCGAGCAGAUUGAAAACAACUGAGGACGCGGGGCUCAGCGUGCCGGGUUCUGGGGCUCGCAGUGGGGAAGGGUCCCCUGGGGGUCAGCGCGGGUUGUGCCGCACUGCCCGCGUCCCCCUGCCAGCUGGAGGGGACGAAGCAGCUUUGCCAAAAUUUCAUCAGGUAUUUAGAGCAAUUUUGUGUGUGUGUGCGUGUGUGUGUGUGUAAAUCUUGAAAUUCUUUGUAACUACUGUAGCCAGAUAUCAGCUAGUUUGGGAAAACCGCCUGUCAGACCUUGGAGACCAGAGGGAUGGUGAUCACCAAACAACACGCAUCCAUCAGUGAGAAAACAACUUCUGCAAAUGUAGGAUCACGGCUGAUGGAUCCAGCCAUGGCUUCCAGUUCACACAUGUGCUUGUUUGGAAAGCAAAAGGAAAAAAAAACACCCCCGGGGAGGACUGGAAAACUGGGGGAAGAAAGAGAAAGUCAGCUGAGAUUUGCCAACCGUGUAGUGGCGAGGCCAGGCUGGUGGUGGGGCUGCCGCGAUGCCCAGAGCCCACACUGAUCCUCCAGCCCCUGGCGGUGCCAUCAGAUGGAAACCGCAAUUCUUGCUGAAAUUUAUUGAUGGUAAGAGCUGGAUAUUUUUUUUAUACAGAUUUUUAAUUUUCCUUUUCUCGAUGAGGAUCCAGCAGCGCUCGGCCCCUCGCCAACCAUUGCGUGGCUGCCACGCUCUUUUUGCUCUGACUGUGAAGUGGGUCCCUGUCCAACGCCAUAGGAUUACUUGACAAAAGUAAGCUGUCAAAAUGCUGAAAAUUCAGGUAGCAGCACUGAAAGCUUUUCCUCUCGCUGUGCCUUGUUAAAGCACAGAUAAAGUGGUGACCAUUACGUUUGUACGAGAUACACUCCUCCAUGAAAUAAGCUGUCCACUUGCUAACUGGUUUAGAAGGACACAUCCUUACUUUUUCCCCUUUUUCUUUCUUUUGUUUAAGUCUCUUGGAAAGCUGCACACGUGGCUUCCAGCGUCUUCUGCAGGUUCCUUGGGGCUAUUUCCCAAGCUCUGCAAAAGCACAAAGGGAAAAUGAAGUGAUAGAUCCCAAUAGAUCCCAACCCCUUUAGUAGGGGUCCGACACCCCAUGGGAGUCUGUAAGCCAGAAGAGGCUGAGAGCGGCCAAUGCAGGUUUACCGAUCCCUGCUGUUACGUUACUGCACUUUUCCUGCGGGGUUUUGGGCGUCCCCCCAUCCCAUCCACUCAUAGCUUUAUGCCUGCUUGUGGCCGCGGUCAUCUCAGCUCCCUGCAGAGCGGCGCCAGGGCCUUCUCCUGUUGGGGAAUCCUCCAUCUCUCUUCAAGUGUCUCUCAAUGCGUUGUUGAAACAACCCACCUGGCUGCACUCCCCUCGUGGGAGUCCCAUAGCCCGGAUCUGGAUAUGGCCCUACGUGUCGAGGGCCUUUGGGACGUGGUGUCUGCCGGCCCGUGUCCCCAGGAGCAACACAACCGCAUUUUGGCUUUGAGUCUUCCUGAUGUCCCAAACCCCCAUACAGCCCCGGGCUCCCGCAGAGCUCAGGGCACGCUCGCCUAUGCACACGCGGGGCUGUAACCACAAGGGCUCUCUUCUCCCUCCAAGGGCUGCUACCUAGGACAUGCUCACCCCAUGCAGUAGGACGGUGACCGAGCGGCCACCGGCCAUACCCGACACAGACGUAGCAUACAGUUUACAUACAGCACAACACGUUUGCCUUACUAAAGACGCUUCUCCAAUGAGUAAUGGCCUUAUACCGGGCACAUUAGCUUAGACACAGACUGCAGUGACGGUUUGUAGGCCACAGUGGUGUUCUGUUGGGUGUUUCUCUGUUGGUUUCGUAUGAUUUCAUGUACUUGUUUUCAGUUCGAGAAAGCCUUACUAUAAAAAACAGAAAAAAAAAAAAUCUCUCUCUCUGUAGAGAUAAAACAGUUGUGGAUUUAUAUAUAUAUAAAUAUAUAUAUAAAUAAAAAAAAAUAAAAAUAUUAAAUAUAAUAUAGUACGUGCCUCAGAUCCAGGGGACAUCCUGUUGAUUGUAGUCAGAUGUGGUGCGAGUUCCAUGAGAUCCAUUGCAGCCCAGGGGCUCCCGGGGCUCCUGUGGUUGUUAGAGGACCUCACCGGUGCCACUGGGGACCCCUGCAGCAAAGCCCUGCCAGAACGUGGUACUGCAGUGCAGGUGGAGGCCUUUGCUUGCAGCUCUUGGUUGUGAAGAUGCCCAUGGUUUGUUGAAGGCUUGACCCAAUCCGACAGCUUCAGGAUGACAGCAGGCCAUGGCAUCAGCAAUAAGAUUGCAGCAGUAAGGAAAUAAAGGGUUUGGAUAGGGAAACGCUUAGCACCGGUAACACACGCACGUGUUUCGAGCCUGUUCUAAGGAAGAUUACAUCUUGGACAAAAAGAUGGGAAGAAGUGUUUGUAACAUAGAUUGUAAUUUUUCACGUUAUAGCAUAGCCUCCUUGGCCAAUACAGUUGUGUUUUCAGUGCUUUGUUUCAAAGCUCCUGGCUGAACAGGAUAACAGACUGACGUAGGAUAUUCUAGGAUUGUAGCAGUGCUUUACGGAGUUUAUGUUUUCGAUGUGGAAGAAAUCAAAAGAAGAGGAUGGCCAAAAAAAAAAAAAAAAAAAAACCCACAACAAAAAGAAAUACAACAACAACAACAAAAGCCUUCUGAAGCUCUGCCCCGUCGUAGCAACAUCUCUGCACACUGCACAAGCGCAGAGGUAUGGGCAUGCUCGGGCCAUUGCAGGUGGCCCCGGGGUGGGCGAGAAGACUGCUGACCUGUCCCCUCUCCAUGACUUGAUUGCACUAGAGCAGCUCAGUCUCAGGAAAUUGCUUGUUACUUUUACUGUGUAAAUAAAGCUUCCUGGUUCCGUACCCC